rnacentral:rRNA from 1 species
UACGGAGGGUGCAAGCGUUGUUCGGAAUCAUUGGGCGUAAAGAGCGUGUAGGCGGUCCGGUAAGUCCGCUGUGAAAGUCCAGGGCUCAACCCUGGAAUGCCGGUGGAUACUGCCGGGCUAGAGUCCGGAAGAGGCGAGUGGAAUUCCUGGUGUAGCGGUGAAAUGCGCAGAUAUCAGGAGGAACACCGAUGGCGAAGGCAGCUCGCUGGGACGGUACUGACGCUGAGACGCGAAAGCGUGGGGAGCAAACAGG